CAUUUCACCAUUUCACCAUUUUAGCUUCACUCUCGGUGAGCACACUGGCAAACACCCAAAACCCUGAUGAGAAGAACCCUACUGAGAGCUCCCUUUUCUUUCUCAGCAACCCAUGUUCUUCCUCCGAGGCCUCCCCGUCCGUACAUCAAUGGUGACUCUUCAUCAGAAGCCUCGAGUUUUCACUCCAUGUCAAGUUUCAGCUCAAAUCCGAGGUGGGUCUUCACCAACUCUCUUCCUCCUCCAGAAUGGGUAGAGCCUUUCAAUGAUGUCUCUGAUAUAGUAUCGAACCCACAAGACUUUGACCCAUCUCCAUGGGUUGCCCAAAUUCUCAAUCUUUUAGAUGGGUCUCUGAAGAUGGAAGCCAAUUUGGACUCUUAUUGUCAUACAUUCUUGAUUAAAUUGUCUCCCAAUUUUGUUGCAUAUGUGUUAAAGUCUGCUGAGCUUCGUGGAAAGCCCGAAACCGCUUUGCGGUUCUUUGCUUGGGCUGGUAAGCAAAAGAAAUAUCAUCAUAAGCUUGAAUGCUAUGUAUCUUUGAUUGACCUUUUAUCUUCAUCUGGUGAUUUGGAUCGUAUUCGAUAUGUUCUUGCUGAACUUAAAGACAAGAACUUUUUGAUGAAUUCUGCCGCUGCUAAUUCUUUGAUUAAGAGUUUUGGCUGUCUUGGAAUGGUUGAUGAGCUGUUGUGGGUUUGGCGUAGAAUGAAGGAGAAUGGGAUUGAGCCUAGUUUGUAUACAUAUAACUUUUUAGUGAAUGGAUUGGUAAAUUCGAUGUUUAUUGAAUCCGCUGAGCGGGUUUUUGAGGUUAUGGAAGGUGGGAAAAUUGUACCAGACAUUGUGACUUAUAACACAAUGAUUAAAGGGUAUUGUAAGGCAGGGAAAACCCAGAAAGCAAUGGAGAAGUUCAGAGCUAUGGAGGGGAGGAAUGUGGAACCUGAUAAGAUUACUUAUAUGACUUUAAUACAGGGAUGUUAUUCAGAAGGAGAUUUUGAUUCAUGUUUGGGUCUUUACCAAGAAAUGGAAGAGAAAGGACUUGAAAUUCCUCCGCACGCGUAUAGUUUAGUUAUCAAUGGGCUUUGUAAAGGUGGGAAAUGUAUGGAAGGAUAUGCUGUUUUUGAAGAUAUGAUUCAGAAGGGUUGUAAAGCAAAUGUGGCAAACUAUACAGCUUUGAUCGAUUCAUAUGCAAAAUGUGGGAGCAUUGAAAAGGCAAUGAAGCUUUUUGAGAGAAUGAAAAAUGAUGGGCUCAAACCGGAUGUGGUAACUUACGGCGUUGUUGUCAAUGGAUUAUGUAAGAGUGGGAGAGUGGAGGAGGCCAUGGAGUAUUUUCAGUUUUGUGAAGGCAGUGGGAUGGCAGUUAAUGCCAUGCUGUAUUCUAGUCUGAUCGAGGGCCUUGGAAAAGCUGGGAGGCUUGAUGAAGCUGAAAGGCUUUUCGAAAAGAUGAUUGAGAAGGGAUGUCCACAGGAUUCAUAUUGCUAUAAUGCCCUUAUUGAUGCCCUAGCUAAAGGCGGAAAAACUGAUGAAGCAUUAGCACUCUUUAAGAAAAUGGAAGAGGAAGGUUGUGAUCAGACAGUUUAUACUUACACAAUACUCAUCAGCGGACUGUUUAAGGAGCACAAAAAUGAAGAGGCAUUGAAGCUGUGGGAUAUGAUGAUCGAUCAGGGCAUCACACCAACUGCUGCUUCCUUCAGGGCUCUCUCAAUUGGGCUUUGUCUCUCGGGAAAGGUAGCCAGAGCUUGCAAGAUUUUGGAUGAGCUAGCACCAAUGGGUGUAAUUCCUGAGACAGCUUUUGAAGACAUGAUCAAUGUUUUGUGCAAAGCUGGCCGUUUCAAGGAAGCUUGCAAGUUGGCUGAUGGGAUUGUGGACAGAGGUAGGGAAAUACCAGGACGAAUUCGAACUGUUCUAAUCAAUGCUUUGAGGAAAGCAGGCAAUGCAGAUUUAGCUAUGAAGUUGAUGCAUAGUAAGAUCGGCAUUGGGUAUGACAGAAUGGGUAGCAUCAAAAGAGUUGAUGUUCACAAUUCAAUCCCUGUAUAUUACAUCAUUCAAUUUAUUGAAGAAACUUUCACAUAAACGUUUUGGACCUUAAAAAAGUUGUCGAAGUGUCUAUCGGCCCAGCUGGAUGGCAGAAGAACCUAAUCAAUUAGCUUUGGCUAAAUGGCAUGUUGAAUAUAUAUGUGAUCUCUGUAUCAAUACCCAGGGAAAGGCCCAUCCCCAAAGAAAUAACAGCUGUCAAUUUGUGUUCCCCUUUGAAUGGCUGUCAAAAUCAAAGCUACAGUAUGGACUUUUGUAGUUAUUUCAUUAAGAGAAUCUAGGUUGAUGCUUUGAUGAACCUGGAAUAAGGAUGGGUUCCCGACAUAGUCAGAUGAAAUGAGGGUGAAGAGAGGCUUCAGUGUUGGGAUAAGACAAAAUCUUGCAUACCCUACUCAUAUCAGCUACUGUUUUCAUCAUUCGCAAAGACGCUUGUCUUUCUAAGCCUCUAUCUUAUGUGAUUGUCCAUUAAUAUUAUUGUUUGAAUGAGGUCCCUCAGUGACUUGAUGUCUUGAGAAUUAUGGUCAUCUGGCUUAAGUCCUUAGUCAAAUUUGGUUUUUCUGCUGCUGUCUUGCACCCAAUGUUAAGUAUAAACUGCUUGCUGA